ACGGAAGGCAGCAGCGGGGGAUAUUGCGCAAUGGGGGAAACCCUGACGCAGCAACGCCGCGUGCAGGAUGACGGCCUUCGGGUUGUAAACUGUUGUCGCAAGGGAAGAAGACAGUGACGGUACCUUGUGAGAAAGCCACGGCUAACUACGUGCCAGCAGCCGCGGUAAUACGUAGGUGGCAAGCGUUGUCCGGAUUUACUGGGUGUAAAGGGCGCGUAGGCGGGCUUUCAAGUCAGAUGUGAAAUACCGGAGCUUAACUCCGGGGCUGCAUUUGAAACUGUUAGUCUUGAGUAUCGGAGAGGAAAGCGGAAUUCCUAGUGUAGCGGUGAAAUGCGUAGAUAUUAGGAGGAACACCAGUGGCGAAGGCGGCUUUCUGGACGACAACUGACGCUGAGGCGCGAAAGUGUGGGGAGCAAACAGGAUUAGAUACCCUGGUA
rnacentral:rRNA from 1 species